CCUAUUAUUCUGCUGUAAUUGAGAACCGUGCUGAUUUUCUUGGUCGCGUAGUGGUUGAUGUUGGCGCUGGUAGUGGCAUUUUGUCAUUAUUUGCAGCCCAAGUGAUCUAUUUGUAACAAAGCAUCUUGUGUUUUUCGAUAAUGAUAUCAACCAUGGCAGCCAGUUAUGCUGAUAUCUCUACUCUGUAUCUUUUCUUUUCCUUACCUCUCUUCACAUCCAUAAACCAUCAUAGGCUGGUGCAAAGCAUGUUUAUGCCAUAGAGGCUUCUGAAAUGGCCGACUAUGCAAGAAAACUUAUUGCUGGAAAUCCAUCACUGAAUGAAAGAAUUACAGUAAGUGUUCUUUUACUUGUUUAAUCUGACUCCACUUAGUAUUGGAUUGAGGUGUUGUUGAUUGAUUUAUUGAUCUUUUGCCUUUUCCUGUGUCUUUUCCAAGGCUAUCCGAUAUUCAUAUAGUAUCUUGGUAGUGCUUCUUAUUUUUCUUUUGUUAAUGUUUCAUCUAUGGAUGUUUAGGUAAUCAAAGGAAAGGUCGAAGAUGUAGAGUUACCUGAAAAAGCUGAUAUUUUGAUCUCUGAGCCAAUGGAUGGCAGGUGAAAAGAGGGGUAAGAAAACAAAGAAGGCUAACGAGACAGCGGUUCCCCGGAGACCACCAGAAAACCUUGCGAUUAGAAUGUUUGAAUUUUAAUGUUUGGUGGAUUUGUGGAUUUGCGAGGGUGAAGUAGUCUAAUGUUGUAGACUAACUUAGUGUAGACUAGUUUAAUGUUUUGUGGAUGUUUACAAAUGUUGAAGUAGUUUAAUGUUGUUUUGAUGUUCGCGAAGGUUGAAGUAGCUUAAUUAAUGUCUCUUGUGAAUGUUUGAUUGACGUUUUUAUUCAACUUUGAAGUAGUUUCGAAUUGAAUUUGAUGUUUUGGUGGUUGUAAUAUAUGUGUUGUAAUAGUAGCUUAUUGUUUUAUGUAUUUAUAGUAGUUUGGUGUA